UACGUAGGGUGCAAGCGUUAAUCGGAAUUACUGGGCGUAAAGCGUGCGCAGGCGGUUAUAUAAGACAGUUGUGAAAUCCCUCGGCUUAACCGGGGAACUGCGUCUGAUACUGGAUGGCUUGAGUUUGGGAGAGGGAUGCGGAAUUCCAGGUGUAGCGGUGAAAUGCGUAGAUAUCUGGAGGAACACCGGUGGCGAAGGCGGCGUCCUGGACCAACACUGACACUGAGGAGCGAAAGCCAGGGGAGCAAACGGG
rnacentral:rRNA from 1 species